GCCGCGCCCCCUCGGGCGCGAGGCUGGAGUAGCGAUUGCUGGAGCCUCUGCGGCCCGCCCCGAGCGCGCCCCACGCCCCAGUGCCCGGCAACUUGGCCGCGCAGAUCCAGGACGGGUCUCGCCCUAAUUUUUCUCCGGGAGCUGAAGUAAGGGGAGGCCAAGAUUCCAAACGCCCCCAAAUGCUUCCAAAGGAGAAAGCCACACCACACCGGCUUUCAGGAUCUUCGUUCCCCAACCAGGGAUGGAACCUGGGCCCCAGCAGUGAAAGCGCUGAGUCCUAACCACUGGACCACCAGUUUUGUCUCCCACAAUCCAUUCUCCUUACUGAAGUUUGUGAUGUUAAAAAAAAAAACAACAAAAAGAACCAGAAAUUUGGGACUUCCCUGGUGGCGCAGUGGUUAAGAACCCGCCUGCCAAUGCAGGGGACACAGUUUCAAUCCCUGGUCCAGGAAGAUCGCACAUGCUGAGGAGCAACUAAGCCCAUGUGCCACUACUACUGAGCCCGCAUGCCACAACUACUGAAGCUCACGCACCUAGAGCCCAUGCUCCACAACAAGAGAAGCCACUGCAAUGAGAAGCCCGCGCACCACAACGAAGAGUAACCCCUGCUCGCCGCAACUAGAGAAAGCCCGUGCACAGCAACGAAGACCCAAGGCAGCCAAAAAUAAAUAAAUAUAUAAAUGUAUUAAAAUGUAAAAAUCUGUAUUAAAAAAACCAGAAAUUUCAUCAGACCACUCCCUUGCUUAGAAUCUUUUAAAGGAUUUU